rnacentral:rRNA from 1 species
CGUGUAGGCGGCCGAUUAAGUCCGGAGUGAAAGUCCUGCUUUCAAGGUGGGAAUUGCUUUGGAAAUUGGUUGGCUUGAGUGCGGAAGAGGUAAGUGGAAUUCCCAGUGUAGCGGUGAAAUGCGUAGAGAUUGGGAGGAACACCAGUGGCGAAGGCGACUUACUGGGCCGUAACUGACGCUGAGGCGCGAAAGCGUGGGGAGCGAACA